CCCUUAGAUGUUCUGGGCCGCACGCGCGCUACACUGAUGCAUGCAACAAGUCUUUUCCUUGGCCGAGAGGCCUGGGCAAUCUUUGAAUAUGCAUCGUGAUGGGGAUAGACGAUUGCAAUUAUUCGUCUUCAACGAGGAAUUCCUAGUAAACGCAAGUCAUCAGCUUGCAUUGAUUACGUCCCUGCCCUUUGUACGCACCGCCCGUCGCACCUACCGAUUGAAUGGUCCGGUGAAGGCUCCGGAGGCGUCUUUCUCAAUGUUUAUUCGGCGAGAUUGGUGCCAAAGUUGAAUGAACCUUACCAUUUAGAGGAAGGUGAAGUCGUAACA
rnacentral:rRNA from 1 species